AUUGGGCGGCCGGGCCGGCCGGGGCUUCCGCCGCCGGGUUACGGGAGAGGCACCGCGCUCGGGGAUCCGGGAUCCGGAAACUAGGCCCAUCGCCGGUUUAAAAAAAUAAAAAAAGGAAAUCCAGAUUGAAACAAGCAGGGGAGAAGUCCUAAAGAAUCAGAACUGUUAAUCGAUACCAUUUUCAUUCAAGGAAGGAGAUAAUUCAUGCUGGGAAUAUUAAAAACUAAACUGGAGGAAUCCCAAGUGUGAGGUAACACAGCAUUAUCCCCCAGAAGCCCCUAGGGAAUAGACAAAAAUACCUAAUUGUUUUGUUGUUGUUUUUUUUCCAUCUCAGACACCUAAAUUAUCCAACUGCACUGUGCGAGCAUAUUCAGCAGAUUGCUAACAGAUCAGCCACGAGAUCCUGCUGCACUUUGCAUUGUGCUCCAAAACUGAGCAACGCAGUGAAAUUAAUGAGACAAUUCUCAUCUCUCAUGAGGUCAAGUGAUUGCACAGGCAUAGCCAGGGGGGACGAUCGUAGUGGAAAAAACCAAAACAAACAGUGCCCGUCGAGAUGGUUACACAACCAAGUGCUCCUGGCAAGGCCCCCACAUCAUUAGCUGUUAUUAACUGUCUUGUGCAGAAGCAUCAGCUCUCUCAGGAGCCAAGAGAGUGCUGAAGGGUUUACAAAAGCUCUUCACUUGUACAGUACAUAAAUCUGAAGGUGGCCUUGAAGAGUUCUCCUGCAGGCUCGAGUCUGAAGAACGCAGCGCAGCCAGAGCUCAUUUUGUGGGGAGUUUUAUUUUCCACUAAAAGGUCAAACUGGAGAAAGCAAUGGGCUCAGAGCAGCUUUGCAUUGGGUCCAGCUCGCUCACAUCCUUGCCAAGGGAAGAAGUAGUUAAUGCCCUGAGAUAAGACCCUCGUCACAAUAUUGUUUAAUUACAUAAGGCUUCUAUUGAGCUGGAGAUAAGAACGGGAAUUUGUCCCCGGUCCAGCUGGGUGUGGCAGCUGAGCUCAUGGUGUGUGUUAGAAUGGGAACCAAAAAGCAAGGGGUUUAUUUGAGGUGGUUGUCCCACCAUUGGAACUGGAAUGAGCAAACUGAUACUGACAGCUGAUGGAAAAGUCAACUCUCUUUUCCAUGGGAGCAAUAAAACAACCUCUUUUUCUUUUAUAACAAUAGACUUAAAAGUAUAAUUUCAGAUUGUAUUGGGAAUGUUCAUUGAGCCAAACUGCUACUCUGAAACCAGUAAACCAAUAUUUUCAGACCUCUUUAACAACCAAGAAACCAAAGCAGGAAGAUGAAUUGACUCACCUAAGACUACAGAGUAAGAUCAGCUUCAGUGCUAAAUUAGCAAACAAAUCCCUUCAGUCCUAAUUCAUGUUCUUGAUUCUUCUUGCAAAAAAAAAAAAAGAGCAUUUUCCUCAUUCCAGAUCACCUUCUUGCAAAUCAGAUCACAGAUGAGUCUGUCUGAAUGCCUGACAAAUGCCUCACAGCAACAAAACUGGUACCUCCUUCCUAUGAAAAAAAAAAACUAGUGGCUAAAAUGUGCUUUAUUUGAAUCAUCUUCUUGGUUAUUUAUUUAAUAAAUUUGUUUAUGCAGGUAAAAUGAUUCAUGUCCAGGUUUCUGGGUUAUUCUUCAUCUCUAGCUGAUGUGCUAUUUUAAAGUUUUGACUUCACAUUAAUAAAGUUGAUUUAUAGAGUUGAUGCUAAUCCUUGAUAAUUCAGUUUUGAGAAGACUGAGGGGAGAUCUCCUGGAACUUCCUCCCAAGGGGCAGCUCAGAUCUCUGCUCCCUGUGCCAGGAACAGCACCCAGGGAAGGGUUGAGCUGUGUCAGGGAGAGUUAGGAUGGAUUUUGGGAAAGGUUCUUCCCCCCAGAGGGUGCUGGGCAUCCCCAGGGAAUGCCAGAGCUCCAGGAGCAUUUGGACAUCACUCCAGGGUGGGAUUUUGGGUCUGUACAGGGCCAGGAGCUGGAAUUGGACCAUUCCUUCCAACUUGGCAUAUUCCACAAUUCUAUGAAUUUUACUUAUCUCAAUUUUGUAAUCUCAAGGUUUUCUCUUUCCCAGAGAAGUGUAACCUCAGUCUUUACCUGUUCAGCACGGCUUAGGGUGAUCUAAUAUCCUGUAACACUCAUAGAUACGAUUUCCUUUUUUGUUCCCUUUGUGAUUCCUUACACACAGCUGAGUUUUAUUUUGCCUCUGGCUCCUGCCACAUCUCUUGCACUGGGGAUCUUGCUCUAGGAGCUGUGACUGGGUCAUGAGCAGCAUUGUUUGCCAAAGGUAAAGCUGGGUACACACACUCAUCCUUUGGGUCAAUUAGCUCUGUUCAUCAAUGGGGAAUGCAAUGUGACACUUAGGAAGGUGCAGUGCUUAUUCACUUAUGCCCCUUCUGCUGCAGAGGAGUGUAAAAACAGAACCAAAAGCUGACCCGUGGCUUUUGUUUGGGAUGUUGUGUGGCAGGACCCACCCCAGGCCAUUUCCCCCGGUGCUUUUAUUCACAUUUUGGUGUGGCGGGGUGGGCUGGGAAUCGGAGUGAGCACAUUGCUCUGCAGGGCGUGUGUCCCCGAUUAUGUGUUGUGUUUCUGCAGGGUGUGUCCUGGAGCCCUGAGCACGACUGCCGUUCAGGAAAAGGAAAAAACAUUGCAGAGAAUGAAGAAAAAAAGGUUAUAAAGCAUUUUCAAAAUAUAAAUAACAGCGUGUGAGGAAAUCUUGCUGAAGGAACAGGAUGCGUGUGGAGGUGAAGAAUUCAAAUACAAGUGCUGUGCUAAGUAUAAUCAGUAAUGAAAGUUCAGCCCUUCCUCUUAGGAUUUGGGUAAGCUACGUGUUGGCAGUACUUCCCAAAUUCCAGGGAACAAAAAGCAAGCUUUAAAUGUUGUCUUAAAGUCCUGUUGCAGUGCAGUUUGUUUAUCAUUACCACAUAUGUAAUGCUGUCCAUCUAUUUUUGCGAGAUUUGACUUCAAAUACAAAGUAGAAUAAACGACUAUCUGCUGAA